rnacentral:tRNA from 1 species
GGGACCGAGGUGUUACCGGCAGCACGCCCGGCUCUUAACCGGCGAGGACAGGGUUCAAGUCCCUGGGGUCCCAC